CUUAGCAAUAUAUUACCACAUAAAGAACAGAGAUGCAAAUAGAUCCCUAGACAUUUUUGAUGAGCGGUCACAUCCUCUCACAGUAAGUAUCUGUUUGCCUUUCUUAAAAUAGUGUUUUUCUUUCCUAGAACUGUGUUUACUUCAUGUCUGCUUGUUAUAUAGCUGAUGAGAAAACUAGUCCCUCCAGCUUGAGUUAGGAGUGUUGGACCGUAGCUGUGAUGGAGUAACAGUGAGCUAAGAGAAGCAAAUGUAUUUAUUGUCUUAAAUAAUAGAAAAGUCAGCUUUUCUAAAGAUACUCUUCAGUAACAUCAAACAGUAUAAGUAUUUGUAAACAUCCUUCAAAUACGUAGAAAAAAAAGAAAUUAGGAAACUUUAAA
rnacentral:lncRNA from 1 species